UUACUCGCGCGUACGCUUGCGGCCCGAUCCCAUGCAUGCUCGCUCAAGAGAAGCGAGUCCCUCUGCACCCCAUAGGAUUUCCUUUCCGAAAGGCAGCGCGCAGAGGAUAAUCCGAAUCCCCUCAGCCGGGACCCCUCCCCUCCACCUCUCUCCCUUUCUCCAUCUGCAAACACCGCCUCUUGCACGUCCGCACGCUGGCGAGUGUUUGCAAAAACAAACAGCUCCACCCACGCGAGCCUUUCCCCCGUUCUUAAUAAGAACACCCCUUUUGCAAAGCGGGCCUUCGACUCACCGUAGACCUUAGGACUGGGGGCUUUGUGCGCCCCCACGACCGCCACAUCAACCUCCACCUUCCCAUCGCAAGGGUCCCAUGCGCUUUCCUCAACAGCUGAGGGGUUCCUCAGAGCUGGAUGGGGGCGGAGGGAAGGUGGGUGGGAGGGCAGAGAGCUGAGUGUGACCCGGUUGCAAAUAACUGUCACUUCCUGAAAGUAAAAGGAAGAGAAAGGUUCGGAAAUGCGGAUGUUGCCUUCCCCGCGACCCCCACUUUUUCUCCCCUGUACGAAUUGACAUUGGGUUUCUAUCUCUACUGCAUCUGUUCUCUACCAAGAACACAGUUCUGGGUUUAUUUUGUUGCAAAGAGAAAGAGAAGGACUUUUUUUUCCAACGAAGGAACAAAAUAUGUUGCAACCGGGGUCGAACCUUGUAACUGCACGAGGAUGCAAAAUGGCUUUGCAACGCUUCCAUGGAACUUGAUCAGUCAUUCUCAUCACCAUGAUAUGCCAAAUCCAUCUGAACCAUUCAUCACUUGCGGGAAUAGUAUGUCUUCUCCAAUUUUUUUGAGACUGAGAUCCAAGCAACUAUCAACAUGUGCAUUACCAAAAACCUUUGAUCCUCCUUUACCUGGCUUUUUAUAUAUCUCAAAACAUUCAUUUGUUAAUUGGAUCCUGUAAUUUCUCUUCCAGCUGUUGUUAUGACAUGUGCUCUUGGGAACUUGAGUGUGUGAACUUGCCACCCACAUGUCCCAUGAAACACACCUCCUUGAGAGGAGGGGGAUCUUUUGCUAGGGAUAAAACAAACGCUUCGCCCUGAAAUGUGCCUAAAUAGUGCAUGUAUAACCCAAAAAUUGCUGGUCCAAAUCAAAAUAAAACAAAGCUUUCUUUUAUUGAGAGAAAGAGAAGAAUAAAAGGUAAAGGUGUCCCCAAA